rnacentral:rRNA from 1 species
CAGUCGCCGCGGUAAUACGUAGGGUGCAAGCGUUAAUCGGAAUUACUGGGCGUAAAGCGUGCGCAGGCGGUUAUAUAAGUCAGAUGUGAAAUCCCCGGGCUCAACCUGGGAACUGCAUUUGAGACUGUAUGGCUAGAGUGUGUCAGAGGGGGGCAGAAUUCCACGUGUAGCAGUGAAAUGCGUAGAUAUGUGGAGGAAUACCGAUGGCGAAGGCAGCCCCCUGGGAUAACACUGACGCUCAUGCACGAAAGCGUGGGGAGCAAACAGGAUUAGAUACCCCCGUAGUCCCUGUCUCUUAUAC